GACGAACGCUGGCGGCGUGCUUAACACAUGCAAGUCGAACGGAGUGGCGCACGGGUGAGUAACACGUGGGUGACCUGCCCUGCACUUCGGGAUAAGCCUGGGCAACUGGGUCUCAUACCGGCUAGUGUGGGAUGGGCCCGCGGCCUAUCCGCUAGUUGGUGGGGUAAUGGCCUACCACGGCGGCGACGGGCAGCCGGCCUGAGAGGUGGGACGGCGACAAUGGGCCUGAGACAGGGCCCAGACUCCUACGGGAGGCAGCAGUGGGGAGUAUUGCGCAACGGGGGGAAGCCUGAUGCAGCGACGCCGCGUGGGGGAGGACGGCCUUCGGGUUGUAAACGCCUGUCACCGUCGACGCGGUAGAUGGAGAAGAAGCACCGGCUAACUACGUGCCAGCGGCCGCGGUAAUAC
rnacentral:rRNA from 1 species